UACGAAGGGAGCUAGCGUUGUUCGGAAUCACUGGGCGUAAAGCGCACGUAGGCGGAUGUGACAGUCAGGGGUGAAAUCCCGGGGCUCAACCUCGGAACUGCCUUUGAUACAGCAUAUCUUGAGUCCGAUAGAGGUGGGUGGAAUUCCUAGUGUAGAGGUGAAAUUCGUAGAUAUUAGGAAAGAACACCGGUGGCGAAGGCGGCCCCACUGGAUCGGUACUGACGCUGAGGUGCGAAAGCGUGGGGAGCAAACAGG
rnacentral:rRNA from 1 species